UACGUAGGGGGCAAGCGUUGUCCGGAUUUAUUGGGCGUAAAGAGCGUGUAGGCGGCUUUACAGGUCCGUUGUGAAAACUCGAGGCUCAACCUCGAGACGCCGGUGGAAACCGUAAAGCUAGAGUCCGGAAGAGGAGAGUGGAAUUCCUGGUGUAGCGGUGAAAUGCGCAGAUAUCAGGAGGAACACCGGUGGCGAAGGCGGGUCUCUGGGCAACUACUGACGCUGAGGAGCGAAAGCGUGGGGAGCGAACAGG
rnacentral:rRNA from 1 species